GACGGGCACCCGCACAAGCAGUGGAGUAUGUUGAUUAAUUCGACGCAACGCGAAGAACCUUACCAGGGUUUGACAUCCUAGGAAUCGACAAGAGAUUGUUGAGUGCCCUUCGGGGAACCUAGAGACAGGUGGUGCAUGGUUGUCGUCAGCUCGUGUCGUGAGAUGUUGGGUUAAGUCCCGCAACGAGCGCAACCCUUAUUGUUAGUUGCUACGCAAGAGCACUCUAGCGAGACUGCCGUUGACAAAACGGAGGAAGGUGGGGACGACGUCAAAUCAUCAUGCCCCUUAUAUCCUGGGCCUCAAACGUACUACAAUGGCGAAGUACAAAGGGAUGCAAAAUCGUGAGAUAGAGCGAACCCCAAAAAUUCGUCCCAGUUCGGAUUGCAGGCUGCAACCCGCCUGCAUGAAGUCGGAAUUGCUAGUAAUCGCGGAUCAGCAUGCCGCGGUGAAUACGUUCCCGGGUGUUGUACACACCGCCCGUCAAGCCAUGAGAGUCGCGAACACCCGAAGCCUGUAGUCUAACCGCAAGGGGGACGCAGUCGAAGGUGGGCGUGGUGAUUGGGGCUAAGUCGUAACAAGGUAGCCGUAUCGGAA
rnacentral:rRNA from 1 species